AAGAUGUUUCUAUAAUUAUCUACAUUUCUACUGACCUUAGGUGUAAUAAUUGUGUAAUGAGGCGUAGCAUUACUUUAAGAUAUUAAUGAGUUUGCAUACACUCACUGUAAAUUUACAUCCAGAUCGACAGACAAGCGUAUACGUUCGAUAACAAAAUGUGGAACUAUAAUUUUAUAUUAUCAUGCAUCUUGUCGUUCCCGUUUUUCGUGUAUGCCGAAAUCAUUAGCAGUAACCCAGAUGUCGACGAAUGUACGAAAAUAUCUUCAUGUUCAACGUGCAUAACCAAAACAGAAUGCACAUGGUGUGUCACAAAGAGCAAAUGUACGCAGCAAUCCUGCGGGAACGACAACAUUAUAUAUCCGCAACAAAUAUCGGCCAUUAUGUCUGGUCCUACGUUCUGCCCGAAAGUAGUCGAACCUGAAGAAAUAUUAACUGUCAAGAGUGGUACUAAAGAUGGCCUCGUUGUCAAAAUCACCCAGAUACAUCUCUACAUGGCUUUCACUCCAUGGAAAUGCAGAAUCUCAAUCAAUGGUAAAGAAAUUGAAGUAUCUGCCUUGCUUUUGGGUGACAAUGUGUAUUGCGGCUCAGUAUUACUCACUAACCAAUCAAAAAAACCGUAUGUGGAAGGCAAAGUCCAAGUUUUGUGGGAUUUCACGAAGUCUUUCGAUGGUUCUGUGCCAUUUAAGGUGUGUCGGUGCGAUAUUGACCCUAAUUGCAUUGCUUGCAAAAAAUAAAUACGUUUUGUUGGUAAA